AUUGAACGCUGGCGGCAUGCUUUACACAUGCAAGUCGAACGGUAACAGGCCGCAAGGUGCUGGCGAGUGGCGAACGGGUGAGUAAUGCAUCGGAACGUGCCCAGUCGUGGGGGAUAACGCAGCGAAAGCUGUGCUAAUACCGCAUACGAUCUAUGGAUGAAAGCGGGGGACCGUAAGGCCUCGCGCGAUUGGAGCGGCCGAUGUCAGAUUAGGUAGUUGGUGGGGUAAAGGCCUACCAAGCCGACGAUCUGUAGCUGGUCUGAGAGGACGACCAGCCACACUGGGACUGAGACACGGCCCAGACUCCUACGGGAGGCAGCAGUGGGGAAUUUUGGACAAUGGGCGCAAGCCUGAUCCAGCAAUGCCGCGUGCAGGAAGAAGGCCUUCGGGUUGUAAACUGCUUUUGUACGGAACGAAACGGUCUGGGUUAAUACCCUGGGCUAAUGACGGUACCGUAAGAAUAAGCACCGGCUAACUACGUGCCAGCCGCCGCUGUAACAC
rnacentral:rRNA from 1 species